UACAGAGGGGGCAAGCGUUGUUCGGAAUUACUGGGCGUAAAGGGCGCGUAGGCGGCCUUCUAAGUCGAACGUGAAAUCCCCGGGCUCAACCCGGGAACUGCGUCCGAUACUGGAAGGCUUGAAUCCGGGAGAGGGAUGCGGAAUUCCAGGUGUAGCGGUGAAAUGCGUAGAUAUCUGGAGGAACACCGGUGGCGAAGGCGGCAUCCUGGACCGGCAUUGACGCUGAGGCGCGAAAGCGUGGGGAGCGGAACAGG
rnacentral:rRNA from 1 species